GGAGAAUUGCUUGAACCUGGGAGAUGGAGGUUGCAGUGAGCUGAGAUCACGUCACUGCACUCCAGCCUGGGGAACAGAGUGAGACUCUGUCUC
rnacentral:miRNA from 10 species